UACGUAGGUGACAAGCGUUGUCCGGAUUUACUGGGCGUAAAGAGCGCGCAGGCGGUCGAUCAAGUCGAGUGUGAAAGCCCCCGGCUCAACUGGGGAGGGUCAUUCGAUACUGAUCGACUCGAAGGCAGGAGAGGGUAGUGGAAUUCCCGGUGUAGUGGUGAAAUGCGUAGAUAUCGUGAGGAACACCAGAGGCGAAGGCGGUUACCUGGACAGUUACUGACGCUCAAACGCGAAAGCUAGGGGAGCGAACGGG
rnacentral:rRNA from 1 species